rnacentral:rRNA from 1 species
CAGCAGCCACGGUAAUACGUAGGGUGCAAGCGUUAAUCGGAAUUACUGGGCGUAAAGCGUGCGCAGGCGGUUCGUUAAGACAGAUGUGAAAUCCCCGGGCUUAACCUGGGAACUGCAUUUGUGACUGGCGGGCUAGAGUAUGGCAGAGGGGGGUAGAAUUCCACGUGUAGCAGUGCAAUGCGUAGAGAUGUGGAGGAAUACCGAUGGCGAAGGCAGCCCCCUGGGCCAAUACUGACGCUCAUGCACGAAAGCGUGGGGAGCAAACAGGAUUAGAUACCCGCGUAGUCCCUGUCUCUUAUAC